AUAUAUCAGAGAAUCAUCUGGGUGCUUGUGAAAACACAGAUUGUUGGGCUGUACCCCCAGAGAUUCUGGGGGGCGGGUGGAUGAGACCUAAGAAUGUGCAUCUCUAACAAGUCCCAGGAGAUGCCGAUGCUGCUAGUGCAGGGACUGCACUCUGAGAACGACGGGUGCCUAGACACAUAGCUCUUGGUGAUCUGGGUGUUUUUAGACCCUGUUGGCUGUUCAGGUUGCUUUCCCAUUGGUGUCUAUACAGAGUUGGUGGGCACCCCUAAAAUCUCUCUCCUUACAACCUAGGUACUGCCAUCGAACAGAGUGUUGGUUUUUUCUUCAGCAAUCUUUUCUCAACCUCAAGUCUUAAACUGCACUUUCUUUUGCCCUUUGAAGUUUUCUUGUGGUAUAGUCAAGUUCCAGCAGUAGAGUUUUAUAGUUCAUUUCUAUAGAGAAUGGUUGGGUAUUCAUUUUUGCCUGCUGACCAACCAUGUGCCACCUUAUUUCCUAUUCUCCCAGAGUUGUUGCUUAUCAAGACAGGUCCCAGAUCCAGCAGUGUCCUCCCACAGAGGCCUCUCACCCCUACCCAGCAGAGUUCAAACUCAAGAAUCUGGGACUUCUAAUACAAUCUCAGCCUCUUUAUUUAAAGGACACAUAGGCAAAUCCAGACUAUCAUUCCCCAAAUCCCAGAUCAAACUCUGUGACAAUCCUGGGUCACAUAUGUUACUAGAAAUGUAGGAUAUUAAAGGACUUCCCUUAAUAUGCCUACACUGAAUCUCACCUCAAGACCGUCUUACCCUUUCAACUUCACAGUUUUCUGUUACUAUCACUUUUAUCAUAGUUACCUAGACUCAAAACUUAAGCAAAAUAAUCCCUAAUAUUUGCUGAGUACUUAAUCCUUACAACAACAGUAUGAAUGGAUGGUGUUCUAUCCAUUUUAUGCACAAGGAAACUGAGGCUUAGCAAGAUUAAAACAUAGCUAGAAUAUAAACUCCAGAAUCUUUAUCAGUUUUAUUCUCUGAUUAGCCCAAGUGCCUAGAACAAUGCCUGACCUACACUGGUGUUCAGUAAAUAUUCAUUGAAUGAAGGGAGGAAGUCAUACAACAAACACUUGGAAUCUGGGAUUUGAAACCAGACCCGUCUUAAUCACUACACCACACUUGCUCUUGCUUCAGCUUUGGCUUUCCUUUUGUAAUCCCAUCACCUCAUCCCCUCAAAUCAGUUAUGAUUCCUAGAAAGUCCAUUAUUAUGAUAUUCCUUGUAUUUGGCCCCUGUUUUCCCAUUUCUUCUGCCACCAACCUAGUUAAAGUGAUUGCUCUUUGUUUCCUGAGCUAUUGCUAUAUUUCCCCAGCUGCAGUCUUUGCAGGCCCCUGUGUAACCUACACAACUUUUACCAGACGGCUUUUUUCUUAAAGCAUAUUCAGUAUACAUCACACCUCUGCUCAAAGACAAGGGAUGUCACAUGGUACAAUGAAAAACUAAGGAACUACGAAUAAGAAAACUAAGGUUCUGGUCUCAAUUCUGUGACCUUGGACAGGUUGUGUAUCUCUCCUAGGCUUUAAUGUUCCAUUAAUAACAUUAGGAAUUUGGAUUGGGUAAUCUCUUCCCCACCAAUGCUGUCUGGUGGUUAGAUACAGGGGCUGUUACACUUUGUCAGUGGAAUCCUACCUGGAAUCAGGUAAAAAGGACAAUUGUGCCUCCAAGGGCUUUAGAAUAAGAUGAAUACAUACAUUUUUAUCAAACAAAACAGAGCAGUAGAAGUGCCAUCAAAGAAGUAAAAUGAGGAGCUCUGGCUGUUAGGGAAGGGAGAGAUCACAUCUGGUUACUAAUGGGGAGUAUAGGUGGGGCACAGAUGCUGCUCUCCUCCUCUGACGUCAGUCUGCCCCUGGUGUGCAGGUCUUCUCCUCACUGAUGAGAGGAGAAGCUGCUGAGAUCCCAAUAGCUUUAAGCCACCAGCCCGAAGCUGUUGCAGAAAUCCAUCAUGAGCAGUAAUUCUAAUUCAGAAGCUGUUGGCUCAACAAGACAUGAAAACAACCUAAAUGUCUGUCAAGAGAUGACUAGAUAAAGAAGCUGUGGUAUAUUUAUACAAUGGAAUACUACUCAGCCAUAAAAAAUAAUAAAACAGUGUUAUUCACAGCAACAUGGAUGGACCUGGAGAUUGUCAUUUUAAAUGAAGUAAUCCAGAAAGAGAGAGAAAAGUACCAUAUGAUAUCACUUAUAUGUGGAAUCUAAAAAAAAAUAAGACACAAAUGAACUUAUUUACAAAACAUAAACUGACUCAUAGACAUAGAGAACAGACUUACGGUUACCCGGGGGUAAAGGAGGUGGGAAGGGAUAAAUGAGGAGUUUGAAAUUCACACCUCUUGGGAAGUGAUGAAAAUCUUAGGUAUCUUGAUUGUGGUGGUGGUUUCAUUGAUGUACACAUCUAUCAAAAUUUAUCAAAUUGUGCAUGUGAAAUAUGUGUAGUUUACUGUACAGAAAUUAUACCACAAUAAAGUUGUUUUAAAAAAAGUUGUUGGCUCAAGACACACAAAUCAGUCUAAUGCUUAGGAAACUGCUUAUAGGGACAAAGAGAAAAUAGAAAAUGAAAGUGAUUGUCAUGUUCCUGAUAAACACUCUACGUCUUGCUCUGCCACUUACUAGUCAGGUGGCCUUGGACAGGUCAUUUAUCCUCUCUGAGCCUGGUUUCACCUCCAUUCCUCAGCUAGAGAUUGGGAUAAUAAUACCAACCCUGCAGGAUCGUUGUGAGGAGAAGUAAUAUGUAAAGCCAUGCUGGGAACACAGUAGAUGUUCAGGAACUUCUGUCUCCCAUUUUGGCCCCCUAAACAUGUCCAUGUUUAGAAGUACCCUUUUAAAAGCCCAGAGAGAGAACGAGAGAGCAUUCCACAGUGAUGACUCACAAUACUUACUCUAUACGAAUACUUGCACACAUUCAGGUUUUGGAAAUCAAGUGCUAUAUUAAGAGGGUUCCCCACUCCCUUUGUAGCUAUUAAAAGAACAGGGUGAAAAGGGAAGAUCAGACAUUGUCUUUGGUUUAUCCGUGGCUGAAGCUGAAGAAGGAGCUUGGGAGGUCCAGCAAUCAGCAUUAUUUCUUCCUCCAGGUGAACUGAUGAAGACUUUGAAGAAACAGCUGCAUCAUGGCGAGGGUGGCCUAACCUUGUCCUUUCACUUUCAUCAGACAGUUAUUUAACCUUUAAGGAGUGGUUAUUGCUGUAUCAAUGGCUGACAGUCAUCAUGGCAACCGAGAAAAAUGUCAGCUAGGGGCUCUACUCUAUGCAGCUUCUCUCUGGGACCCAGGCUGCCUGGAGAACCACCAUCUGGAGCAUGGUCAACCUCUGUGGGAGAGGGAGAAGACAGAGUGGUGAACUAUGCACCAGCUUACACCUGAAAGUGACAGUGGCACUUCUACUCACAUGUCACUGGACAAAGCAAGUCACAUGGCUGCACCCAACUUCAAAAGAUGAGGGCGUGUAAUCAUACUGUGUGUGUAGGAAAAUCAGACACACUCGAGCAGAACUGUCCCAAUGAUGACAAUUGCUGUGAAGGAAAAAAGCAAGGUAGCACACCUGCUAUGGCUACAACAACCUGUGCUGGACCACCUUCCUACACAGAGACCCCUCUCAUCCCGCCUGAGCUCUGAAAUAUCCUCUUCGCCCUGCCUGGACUCCAACACCUCACACUUGGCGAUCCCUUUGUAAGAACACUCCCUUUACCCCACACAGACUCUGAAACCCCACACCAGGCUACUCCUCCCACCCCCAAACCUCAGCCCAUCUGGGCCACCCUGCAGUGAGCCCAGCCUGCUUUGACUCUGACACUGAGCUAAUCCGACUGUCUUCAGGGGUGGUCCUCUCGUCCUGCUUGGGCCCAACAAGCAGGAUGCCCUCUUCACUCCACUUUUCUGUUGCUCUAAUUCUUUAAAGAUUUCUAUUAUCUAUGUAUAUAAUGUCAGUUUUUCCUUAAACUGGAGAAGUCUCUGGAGAUACUAUUGAUGGUCCAUCCAUAGUAAUGUGCUUCCAUUUAAACAAUGAUCUAAAUUUACAUAAUAAAAUAGAAGCUUAUUUGGAAUGCUCAUUUUAUAGCCACCUACCUUUUUUUGUGUGUGUAUGGGGGUAGGUAAUUGGGUCCAUUUAUUUAUUUAUUUUUAGAGGAGGGGUGAACCCAGGACCUUGUGUAUGCUAGGCAUGUGCUUUACCACUUGAGCUAUAGUCUCCCCCAAUUAUAACCACCUACUUUUAGUGUCAGUGCUUUGUGUUCAAAAUUGCGUUGGUACCAUGUGAUUGUUAAUGUGGCAAUAUUUAACUUUUAAAGUGUUGGUAGCCUUUAGAUAGGCAUUCCUGGCAUCAAAAUACAAAAACCACCUUGAUUUCUGUUUGGUAAAAAUUACAUCGAGUUAUCUUACCAAUUAUAAAGCUAAAACUGCUUUAGCUUUGGUUUAGUUUUGAUAAAUUAAUUUUGACUUUCCAUCAUAAAAGUAACCGUGCUACUUUAAUUGUCACAGGCUAAUGAGAAAAGAACCAGGCUGACUGACUGACUGCAUAAAUGAUGCACUCAUGCAAAGUGAAGGCCAAAUGAAUCAUGGCACCAGUAUAAAUGAAGCUUUAUAAUAGUUCAAAUAGAGGAAAGUGGAGAGAAAAUUGAGUCAUUACAGGUCUCUUGGUAGCAUAGGCUGGACUCAAAAGAAGCUAGGCAAAGCAGUCACUUUAUUCAGGUUAUUGGCAGAUGUGUUUGUGUGUGUGUUGUAUGUAUUUAUAUGACAUACCAGCUUGCAAAUAUACUCCGUGAAGAACUUUUGUUAGGAGCUUUUGAAAAAAAUGAUCAAUAUUAUAUUUUGGAAAAAAAAUUUUUAAAUGAGUUAGACUAAUUAAAAUAAUCAACUGGUGGUUUCAGAUGAGAAAACUAAUGGGAUGAAAAAUUACAGUAAUGAUAAUGAUUGUGAAUCAAAGCACUGUCCAUCAUGCUCAAAAUCAAAUAUUUAGGUCAACAAUUGAAACAUAAAAUGCAUAAAGCAUCAUUAUUAUGCUUUUAUAACUACAUAUAUAAAUUGUAAUUAAAUCCAACCUUGGCUACUUAGUUUC